GCACCAGCAGCCGAACCGGGGAGGCGGCGGACUCAAAUCCGUCCAGUGUGCGUUCGAGUCGCACCGGGGGCACGA
rnacentral:tRNA from 1 species